GCUCGGUGCGGCGAGCCUAAAUAGUGCCUUAGGCCGCACGCGUUAUGCAUAGGUGGCA
rnacentral:ribozyme from 10 species